rnacentral:tRNA from 2 species
ACGGGUGUAGGCUAGAGGUCAGUCACUGCGUUUGGGGCGCAGAUCACGUUGGUUCGAUCCCAACCACUCGUA